rnacentral:rRNA from 1 species
AUGGACGCACGGAUGAGGCCGAUAAUCCAGGCAGCAGCAUUGAUUAGUGUGAUUCAGGCAUGGGUCAUGUUCAUGCACCAGAGAGUUGUUCGUCGUGCUGGGAGACCUUUGAUCCGCUAUGGUCCAUUGUUUCCCCGGGAACAGGAGAGGAUCCAAAAUCUGAACUACAUCUACAACUGCAAUGACGUCGAGGCUCUGUGGAUACUUAGAAUGAAAAGAGCAUCAUUUGCCAGGCUUGUCGAGACAUUCAGGAGCAGGGGGUUGUUACAAGAUAGCAUCAACACCAGUGUCCAAGAGCAAGUGGCCAUGUUCCUCCAUGUUGUUGGCCAUAACCAGAGGUUCUGGGUCAUUCCCAACACGUUCAGGAGAUCAAUAGAGACCAUCUCUAGGUACUUCAAGCAGGUGCUUUAUGCUGUCGGGGAGUUUGGAGGAGAGAUGAUCAGGAGACCAUCUGGCCAGACUCCACCCAAGAUUCGCGGAAGCCCAAGAUGGUAUACAUACUUCAAGGUGAGCAUUGACAAUAUACACUUUUCAUGGCUUGAUAUGCUUGUAUUGUUCAAGUUGAGCACUAACACAGACUUGUGA